AGGAAACGGCUAUUGCAAUUAGGUGUCGAUGCCUUCUGUAUUGGGUCGGCAAAUUGUACCUUACAAGAUUUGCAUUGCGUGUCUUAUACUUUAAAAAUCAAAAUCCCGAUGGGCUACAUUUAUCUCAUGAGUCAAAUUCAAAACAGUGGAAGUCCGGCCGUGACAGGACUGGGGCAGAGCGAAACGACUCAGUGGAGGAUGCUUUUCUAAGGUGGAACAUGGUUUGCCAAAUUAAAGGAGGCUCGACAUAUUGUAGAGGAAGUUAGGUAGGCUAAUAUGCUACAGGUUUUUUGGUAGAACACUUUAUUUGAACGAAGUUUUGUAACCUAUGUCUAAUAAUUGCUACAAAACAUUUUAUAGCUUUUUUAUAGCAUUUUUAUAGCAACGAACUGGAGGGUUGAACUAUGUAGUUACAUGCCAAAAUUGCAUUCUAAACUGAAGAUCAUGAUUAGGUGAUUAUUGGAGUCAGGUGUGUUAGCUGGGGCUGCAACAAAACUGUGACACCAAUCAGACCCUCAAGGACUGGAAUUGCCCACCCCUACAUGUGCUUUUGGCCAGAAGAAAGACGUUUGAAAGAAUUUGGAAACAUUAAUUGUCCGCCUUGAGGAGUGGGACAUUUCCAUGUGAGAGAGAUAUACAGUACCAGUCAAAAGUUCAGACACACCUACUUAUUCCAAGGUUUUUAUUUUCCAAGGUCUUUAUUUUUACUAUUUUCUACAUUGUAGAAUAUAGUGAAGACAUCAAAACUAUGAAAUAACACAUGGAAUCAUGUAGUAACCCCCCAAAAAGUGUUAAACAAAUCAACAUAUAUUUGAGAUUCUUCCAUGUAGCUACCCAUUGCCUUGAUGACAGCUUUGCACACUCUUGGCAUUCUCACAACCAGCUUCAUGAGGUAUUCACCUGGAAUGAUUUUCCAACAGUCUUGAAGGAGUUCCCACAUAUGCUGAGCACUUGUUGGCUGCUUUUCCUUUUCCUGCUUUUCCAUUGGCUGCGAUCCAACUCAUCCCAAACCAUCACAAUUAGGUUGAGGUCGGGAGAUUGUGGAGGCCAGGUCAUCUGAUGCAAUACACCCUCACUCUCCUUCCCUUGUCCUAUCCCCCUGCCAGACGCAUAUAAAAGCAACCAGAAAUGUUUCUGGAAGAAGUCCAGCCAGAGUUGUGAAGAGAAAAUUAGCAGUGAGACAAAGAGCCCCUGGGAGAACAAGGACAUAUUCUCUCUGAAAGACACUGACAGUAAACUCUUCACGGUGGUCAUCGAAAAACUGGAUUAUAGAGAUGAAGGAUGCUACUACUAUGAUGCGGACACACCAGACACGUCGUCAACUUGCUGUAGGACUAAGGUGGAGCUGGAAGUAAAGGAAGGUUAGAGACUUUCACUUUAAUUUAACUAAAUUAUUAAUUCCCUGUGUGUUGAGAAUAACGAGUCACGGCGGUCAGUCAACUAAGAGUGAAAGGAAAGACUGAGGUUAUUAAUAAAGGCUGAGGUUUUUUCCAUUGACAGAUAACUGCUGUAGGAGAUCAUUCACAGAGAUUGCUUAUCUGGGAGGAACCGCUACCAUCAGCUGCAAGUAUCCAAAUGACCAUAAGGACAGAAUCAAGUAUUUCUGCAAAAAAAGAUGGUCACUUCAUCUGUAAAUGCAAUAUAGAUUUACAAUCUAGAAAAGAAUCGAACGAACAAGGUCCAUUUUUUUGUGUCUGAUAAGACAAGGGAAGAGAGAGAGUCUUCACUAUGACCAUCACCAAUCUGACUGGGGAGGAUACAGGGAUAUUCUGUUGUGGCGGCAAAACUACUGCCUACUAUUAUUAAUGGAGAUUCUCCAAGGUACCCGGCCCUCUGGCUUUUCCUCCAAUAUAUUUCUAGAAGGAGGCUAAGAGAGAAGACACAAGUAAUCAAGGAAAGACACAUUGGGACAUCUUAUGUUUAAUGUUAAGUGGUUAGAUCAUUUGAUCACUGAUAUGAAACGUUUUAUCAAGCACGAUUUGCAUGUGAAGAUCAUCAACAUCAUGCAUUGUACCUCUAUAAUAGUCGUCUAUUGUAUGUGGGCCCUGCAUCUUCAUCCAUGUGACCAUCAACACUAAGACAAUGUACCUUUGAUAAGUAAAUUUGGUUCUAGGGCAGGUAGCUUAGCAGUUAAGAGUAUUGUUUCGGUUGCUGGUUCAAAUCCCCAAGCCGACCACAUGAAAAAUCUGCUGAUGUGCCCUUGAGCAUGGCACUUAACCCUAAUUGCUCAUGUAAAUUGCUCUGGAUUAAAGCGUGCCAAAUGACUAACCCUAACCCGUACCCUAACCCUAACCUUAACCUUAACCCUAACCUCAACCCAAAAACCUAACCUUAACCCUAAAUCUAACCCAAGCUACUAACCCUAACACUAAAACUAACCCUAGCUCCUAACCCUAACUCUUAACAUAAUUCUAACCCUGUCACUAAUUCUAACCUUAAACCACCUAGAAUUAGCAUUUGACCUCGUGGGGACUAAGAAAAUGUCCACAGGAGCUGCCUCCUCAACACACAGGGGUGGCCAUGGUGCAAUAAAACUGCACCCCCUACAGCUAGACUCAGGUCCGGUGACCACAACCAAUUUACCCACAAACCCAUCUGACUCAAUUCACUACGCCAGUGUCAACUUCCACAAGAACCCCAGGAGGCCCAACGAAGCCACCGCUGCCAUCGCUAAAGAGGGCACUUCUUCCACUGAAUACGCCACUGUGAACUUUGGUCGAAGUCUGCCUACUCACCCUGACCAAUGAAUGACAUGAUAAAAAUAGACCUCUAGCCUACUUCUACUGCUUCUCAAUCCUAAGUGAAUACAAUACAAUAUAAUAAAAUACAAUACAAUAAAAUGCAAUACAAUGGAAUACAAUAAACUAAAAUACAAUAAGAAAUAAUA